rnacentral:tRNA from 1 species
GGGCUUAUGGUCUAGGGGUAUGAUUUUCCCUUCGCAUCUUUGAAACAGUGCUUGGGAAAGGUCCGGGGUUCAAUUCCCCGUGAGUCCA